CAACGUCGCCAGGGGAGCCCCGCUCGAUCGGGGCUGAGAGUGUGCCGGCCGCGGCGCAGACCCUGGAACCUGAUCCGGUCAAUACCGGCGGAGGAAGUGCGACAUGUAUCUUGC
rnacentral:ncRNA from 2 species